AAAAGUAUAUGACCGUUUCAUGCUUUGCCCAGUCUGACUUUUACCUGACAUUAUACAAAUGACCGGAAUAUAUGACCGUUUUGGAAGCCCUGCGCAACAGGUGAAUUUAUUUCCACUAUUCACUAUAUAAAUGAGUGUGGAUGGUGUUUAGAGAAUAAUGGGCAAAAUGUGCAGAAUAAAAGGCAAACAAAAUAAAUAGAGAAAAGAGCAUCAUGGGUGGUCAAAAUAGACAAAAUUGGUAAAGUAAAUAGAAAAUUGGUCUAAAAUAAUAAAGAAAUGAAUGGGCCACUAUCCAGACCCUAAUAUAUUCUGUCGCCAAAGAAAUUUUGUGUAAACCAAUGCAGUGCAAAAAACUGUUCCUAAAAUAAAUAUUUAAGGUGGUACCUAACACUACAGGGAGAUAACUCUGUACAGUCAGCCAAACGUUUUAAUUACUUUGUGUUGUAUAAGGAAUAUUAAGCUUCUCAAUGAUCAAAAUUGGUGUUUGUCCAAUUGCUAUAUAACCAGUGUAAUUUUUCUGACAAAACGGUUGGUUCAAAAAUUUUUAAAUUUUUAUAUUUUUAUUAAAGUCUCAAAGUAAAUACUUUGACAAAAUUUUAUGAAAAUUAAACGAGCCAAAUUAAUUUUAGUGAAAGUGUUUGGUACCACCUUAACAACUAGCUGUCAACUGAAAGUGUGUACUGUACACAAAUAAUCGUUUGCUAGGUAAUCAACUAAUAUAUCAAUACAUGACAAUAUGAUAUAAAUGUUUCAUUCACAUAAAUUCAAGCACUGAUUUCAUCAAUUUUAAUAUUGUCAAUACUUUUUACAUGCAUACCUGUAUAUUGUUUUCUUUCGAACACAAUUUUUCAUAAUUAUUUUCCCUAGAAAUUACUAUUUGCACUUACAUACUAAAUGCUUAGUUAAUUCCCUUACUGAACAUACGAUAAUAAACUGAAAUAUGACUAUCCCUCCUAAUGGCAGUGAUGUUCUGUUGUAGAAUGAUUCUUAACAGAUUAAAAUUUUAAAAUUUUAUGAUAAACAUUUAGCUUUGACUAUCUUUAACUGCAAAACAUGCUGUCUUAUAUAUAAUGUUUACCUGAACUGUCAAAAAUAAGUAAAACAAAAAUACUGAUAUUAAAAGUAAAUUCAAAAAGUCCAUAAAAGGUGUCAGACCACCAAUUAAAAAUCCCUAUCUGUUCAACCAAAUUUUGCAAUUUUCACAGCUUUCUAAAUAUUGUACCU
rnacentral:lncRNA from 1 species